GAUGAACGCUGGCGGCGUGCCCAAUACAUGCAAGUCGAGCGAACGGACGAGAAGCUUGCUUCUCUGAUGUUAACGGCGGACGGGUGAGUAACACGUGGAUAACCUACCUAUAAGACUGGGAUAACUUCGGGAAACCGGAGCUAAUACCGGAUAAUAUUUUGAACCGCAUGGUUCAAAAGUGAAAGACGGUCUUGCUGUCACUUAUAGAUGGAUCCGCGCUGCAUUAGCUAGUUGGUAAGGUAACGGCUUACCAAGGCAACGAUGCAUAGCCGACCUGAGAGGGUGAUCGGCCACACUGGAACUGAGACACGGUCCAGACUCCUACGGGAGGCAGCAGUAGGGAAUCUUCCGCAAUGGGCGAAAGCCUGACGGAGCAACGCCGCGUGAGUGAUGAAGGUCUUCGGAUCGUAAAACUCUGUUAUUAGGGAAGAACAUAUGUGUAAGUAACUGUGCACAUCUUGACGGUACCUAAUCAGAAAGCCACGGCUAACUACGUG
rnacentral:rRNA from 1 species